GUCCAUAGAUAGAAUACUAUAUCGUCUAUGUGUAUUAAGUGAGUUUUGCACACUUUUCUGUUGAGAGUACCGCGUACAGAAUAUAUCUUGCAUGAGUGAGUGAGUGGUUUACUGUAGUACCAACAUUCCCUGACUAUAAAGUUACAAUAUGGCCGAAAGUACAAAUGCGCGCCAUUUAAGUAGAACUUUUGAAGUUGUGUUUAACUAAAGAUCUAAACAUAUAAAUGUGAGUGGGUUUUGUGUUACUUUUCUAUUCGCACAUGAGCGGUCUCUCUGAUGUGACACGAAAAGGAAUUUGCCGCCAUCUAGGAAUGUUGUUUUGGAAAGCCACAGUCCGUAUAACACAGAACAUUACAAGGUAUGUCAUGAUGCUGUUAUCUUUCGUUUCCUUCCGACAUAUGAUAAACUUAUUAAAUACCCUUACUUAUAAAUGCGAAGCAGAUUUAAACAUAGUU